UGUAUUAGUUAUAAAGUCCAGCCUGCCCACUGAUUGAUUUAAAGGGCCGCAGUAAUUUGGCCGUGCGAAGGUAGCAUAGUCAGUAGUCUUUUAACUGAAGGCUUGAAUGAAAGGUUGGACGAGGGAUGAGCUGUCUCCUUUAUCUAAUUUGAAUUUAACUUUUGAGUGAAAAGGCUCAAAUUAUUUAGUGGGACGAUAAGGCCCUAUAAAACUUUAUAUAAGUUUAAUUUGGCUCACAAUUUGAGUGAAAAGUAGCUUUAUUAGGCUUAUAUUUCGUGGGGGAGAGGUAGAUAUAAUGUGUAACCGUCUGUUUAAUUUAAUAAUUAUAAUUAUUGUGUGAUCCUUUUUUGUGGACUCAAAGUAUCAGCUACUUUAGGGAUAACAGCGUGAUUUUCUUUGCGAGUUCUUCCCAACAAGAGUA
rnacentral:rRNA from 1 species